GGUUUAAGUGUUAUUAAUCAUCAUAGGAUAUGUGAGGAAAAGUAUAUUAUUCACAUCUGGGGACAGAUACAUACCUCAAAGCAUGUGACUAUUAUAUAUGAAAUAUGUUGUUAAGAAAUCACUGUUCAAGUCCUGUCAAAAAGCAAUAAUACUAAUAACUGAAGAAUUAUAAUAUGUUAAGUAUUUUUAAUUUCUAAAAAAAGAAGUAAGAACAGUAAGAAGAACUUAUUUGGUUUGUUUUAAGCUUGUGAAAGAUCUAGUAAUAUUCUGGAAGACUAUAGGUUGUUUAGAAAGUCAGAUAAAGGAGAAGAAACUCUUGUUUCCUGAUCUCUUGAUCAGGCAUGUUUUAAACCUUUAUGAGUAGCUACCAGAGACUCAAGGAAAUGGAGGCAAAUACUUAUCUUUCAGAUUAGGUAGAAAUAGUCUAAUUGACUGAGUAGGUGUUCAGUACCUAAAAAGUAAUUCUAAAUAGGAACUUUAGAAAACUUAGUUGAAUGAAAAUAGAGACACAUAAAAAAAAAAAAAAUAGGAGAGCUGCAAGUACAGUUAAGAACUUGUAAGCAUAUUCUGCUGGAUCUGAUAUCGUCGACCCUUGAAUAUCUCUAGAAGCAUACUUGGUAUUUUGCC
rnacentral:lncRNA from 1 species